UAGGGAAUCUUCGGCAAUGNGGGGCAACCCCUGACCGAGCAACGCCGCGUGAGUGAAGAAGGUUUUCGGAUCGUAAAGCUCUGUUGUAAGUCAAGAACGAGUGUGAGAGUGGAAAGUUCACACUGUGACGGUAGCUUACCAGAAAGGGACGGCUAACUACGUGCCAGCAGCCGCGGUAAUACGUAGGUCCCGAGCGUUGUCCGGAUUUAUUGGGCGUAAAGCGAGCGCAGGCGGUUUGAUAAGUCUGAAGUUAAAGGCUGUGGCUCAACCAUAGUUCGCUUUGGAAACUGUCAAACUUGAGUGCAGAAGGGGAGAGUGGAAUUCCAUGUGUAGCGGUGAAAUGCGUGGAUAUGUGGAGGAACACCGGUGGCGAAAGCGGCUCUCUGGUCUGUAACUGACGCUGAGGCUCGAAAGCGUGGGGAGCGAACAGGAUUAGAUACCCUGGUAGUCCACGCCGUAAACGAUGAGUGCUAGGUGUUGGAUCCUUUCCGGGAUUCAGUGCCGCAGCUAACGCAUUAAGCACUCCGCCUGGGGAGUACGACCGCAAGGUUG
rnacentral:rRNA from 1 species